CACUCCAGGGAUUCGGCGAGUAGUUUGCUAGAAGCGGUGUAUUUGUCGUGCGGGCUACUCCGAAAGCGGGAAAAAUGGCCCUCCGCGGAGUCCCGGAACCAAGGUGGCUUCAGUGGAGCCUGAGGCAGAAACCUCUCGGGCCGGGCGGACCCCUGUGCUCUCACCAGGAAGGUGGCCGGUUGUCUCCACUCAGGAUAUUUUCUAGUUCCAUCCAUUUGCCUGCAAAACUCGUGAAGUCAUUGUUUUUAAUGGCUGAAUAGUAGUAUUCCAUUGUGUAAAUGUACCACAUUUUCUGUAUCCAUUCUUCAGUUGAGGGACAUCUGGGUUGUUUCCAGCUUCUGGAUAUCAUAAAUAAAGCUGCUAUGAACAUAGUGGAGCACAUGUCCUUGUUAUAUGUUGGAGCAUCUUUUGGGUAUAUGCCCAGUAAAGGUAUAGCUCUGUCUUCAGGUAGAUCUAUUUCCAAUUUUCUGAGGAACCUUCAGCUUGAUUUCCAAAGUGCUUAUACCAGCUCGCAAUCCCACCAGGAAUGGAGGAGUGUUCCUCUUUCUCCACAUCCUCUCCAGCACCUGCUGUCACCUGAGUUUUAGAUCUUAGCCAUUCUGAUUGGUGUGAGGUGGAAUCUCAGGAUCACUUUGAUUUGCAUUUUUCUGAUGACUAAAGAUGUUGAACAUUUCUUUAGUCAUUUUUUUUCUUCUCAGCCACUCAAGAUUCCUCAAUUGAGAAUUCCUUGUUUAGCUCUGCAUCCCAUUUUUAAUUAGGUUAUUUGGUUUUCUAGAGUCUAACUUCUUGAGUUCUUUGUAUAUAUUGGAUAUUAGCACUCUAUUGGAUGUAGGGUUGGUAAAGAUCUUUUCUCAAUCUGUAGGUUGCCGUUUUGUCCUAUUGGCAGUGCCUUUUGCCUUACAGAAGCUUUUCAGUUUCAUGAGGUCCCAUUUGCCAAUUGUUGAUCUUAGAGCCUGAUUCAUUGGUGUUCUGUUGAGGAAAAUUUCCUCUGUGCUGAUGUGUUCGAGGCUCUUAAUCGCUUUCUCUUCUAUUAGAUUCCGUGUAUCUGGUUUUAUGUUGAGGUCCUUGAUCCACUUGCUUUGUGCAAGGUGACAAAUAUGGAUCUAUUUUCAUAGUUCUACAUACAGGCAACCAGUUAGACCAGCACUGCUUAUUGAAGAUACUUUCUUUUUUCCAUUGUAUAUUUUUGGCUUAUUUGUCAAAGAUCAAGUGUGUGGUUUUAUUUCUGUGUCUUCAAUUCUAUUCCAUUGAUCAAUGUGUUUGUCUCUGUACCAAUAUCAUGCAGUUUUUAUCACAGUUGCUCUGUAGUACAGCUUGAGGUCAGGGAUGGUGAUUCCCCCAGAAGAUCUUUUAUUGUUGAGAAUUGGUUUCCCUAUCCUGGGUUUUUUGUUACUCCAGACGAAUUUGAGAAUUGCUCUUUCUAUUUCUGUGAUGAAUUGAGUUGGAAUUUUGAUGGGGAUUGCAUUGAAUCUGUAGAUUGCUUUUGGUAAGAUUUUUUACUAUGUUAAUCCUACCAAUCCAUGAACAUGGCAGAUCUUUCCAUCUCCUGAAGUCAUCUUUGAUUUCUUUCUUCAGAGACUUAAAGUUCUUGCUAUACAGAUCUUUCACUUGUUUGGUUAGAGUCACACCAAGAUAUUUUAUAUUAUUUGUGACUAUUGAGAAGGGUGUUGUUUCCCUAUAUUCUUCUCAGUCCAUUUAUCCUUUGUGUAGAGGAAGGCUACUGAUAUGUUUGAGUUAAUUUUAUAUCCAGCCACUUUGCUGAAGUUGUUUAUCAUGAGAAGUUGACACACAAAACCAGCCAGUACACUUGACUUUUUCCUUUCCAGUUUGUAUCGCUUUGACUUCCUCUUGUUGUCUAAUUGGUCUAGCUAGAACUUUGAGCACUAUAUUGAAUAACUAGGGAGAAAGUGGCAGCCUUGUCUUAUCCCUGAUUUUAGUGGGAUUGCUUCAAGUUUCUCACCAUUUAAUUUGAUGUUGGCCGUUGGUUUGCUGUAUAUUGCUUUUGUUAUGCUUAGGUAUUUGCCUUGAAUUCCUGAUCUUUCCAAGACUUUUAAUACAAAGGGUUUUUCAUUCACGGAGUUGAAGACUAACCAUAGGACAUCAUGAAGCAAGGAUUCUUGCAUUACUCACCUUGGACACUAGAGGGCAGACAAAGAUAAAGUUCCACAAGGGUUUAGGUGCUAGCCAACCUUUGAGCACAGGGAGAUGACGAUCACCUGAUGCCCCUGCUGGAGCCUGAAUGCGUUGCUGGUUGCAAGCACAUUUCAGCAGAUGAACAGGACACUUCAUCAAGAGUUUCAGCAGGCACCCUUUAGAUCUCAGCUGUGCUGUGUGCUGCUAUCCUCACACUACUGAGUUGGACUGCUGAUAUAUCUGUGAAGUGUCUGCAAGUGGAUCGAGCUGCUGCUGCUGACCUGUGAACUGAGCUACUGAUUUCUUGACAAUGCAGAUGGGAUUUGCACCAAAGAACCAUUUCUAAACAGGUUUGACUUUCUAAUGUUGCAUCAUAUUCUGUCAACCUACAUUGUAUGCAAUUACUAAAAUUGCAGGGAAAGGAUGUUCUAGAAACUUGGAAAUGAGGAGAAGAUGAGCCAUUACUCUUAUUCACUUAGAGAUGUUAUAGCAUUUAAUACGUUUUUAAUAACAAAAGGCUUCCGUGACUGUGAGACAUGUCAGCUCCUGGCAGCACCCCCAUACGACUUCAGACAAGAUGAUGGGCAUCAAAGAACCUCCACAUAGAGUUUGAUUCAAAUGUGGCAAAGCUAGGCACUGGGCAAAAAAAC
rnacentral:lncRNA from 1 species